rnacentral:piRNA from 1 species
UCUCAGAAGAGCACAGGCUGUCCUGGCCAGA